rnacentral:rRNA from 1 species
UACGUAGGGUGCGAGCGUUGUCCGGAAUUAUUGGGCGUAAAGGGCUCGUAGGCGGUUUGUCACGUCGGGAGUGAAAACUCGGGGCUUAACCCCGGGCCUGCAGUGGGUACGGGCAGACUAGAGUUCGGUAGGGGAGUCUGGAAUUCCUGGUGUAGCGGUGAAAUGCGCAGAUAUCAGGAGGAACACCGGUGGCGAAGGCGGGACUCUGGGCCGAUACUGACGCUGAGGAGCGAAAGCGUGGGGAGCAAACAGG